GGCUCACGAGGAAAUGAGGUCCUGUGUUCAAAAUUCCAAACUGUCCCUUUAACCUCAUGAAAUUACACAGCAUAAUGUACAUUUCUCUGUUGUAGGUCACAAGAACACACAGGGUGGGGGGCAGUUUCCUGUUGACAUAAACAACUCUGCACCAGCGUCAACCAUCUACAGUUCAACUGGUUCUGGGGCUGUGGACAAUAGGCCGAUUCACAAUGAAGAUGAGUACGAUGAUGCGGGGCCCAGUCGAAUCUACAUGCCUUUGAGGAAAACAAGUGAUGUCUAUGCCACUAUCCAUAACCAGCAAACUGCAACCCCAAGGAACAUCAACCAAAAAUGGUUGUAAUUUGUAUUUAUUUGUUCAGACUUUUUGUCAUGAGCAUUUUUGCAUUUGUUUCUUUGUUUUUCUU